CGACCUAUUCAAGAAAAAUUUUGUAAGCCGCUGGCCCUGUGCCCACGCCCGCUAGCCCCCCGCAACGGCGGGCUGGUGUGUGUCACCGUUGAUGGCCUGCAGUACUGCAAGCCCAUGUGCAACAAGGGCUACGACUUCCAGGUCCUUCGGAGGACAAGGCUGUAUGAAAAGUGCGGAAACGCCACGGGCUUUGCCUGGACCACGCAGUACAUCGGCGGGAACGAG